UACGAAGGGGGCAAGCGUUGUUCGGAAUUAUUGGGCGUAAAGGGCGCGUAGGCGGUGCGGUAAGUCACCUGUGAAAUCUCCUGGCUCAACUGGGAGCUUGCAGGCGAAACUGCCGUGCUGGAGUGUGGGAGAGGUGCGUGGAAUUCCUGGUGUAGCGGUGAAAUGCGUAGAUAUCAGGAGGAACACCUGUGGCGAAAGCGGCGCACUGGACCACAACUGACGCUGAGGCGCGAAAGCUAGGGGAGCAAACAGG
rnacentral:rRNA from 1 species